GACGAACGCUGGCGGCGUGCUUAACACAUGCAAGUCGAACGGAAAGGCCCUGCUUUUGUGGGGUGCUCGAGUGGCGAACGGGUGAGUAACACGUGAGUAACCUGCCCUUGACUUUGGUAUAACUUCAGGAAACUGGGUCUUAUACCGGAUAGGAGCUCCUGCUGCAUGGUGGGGGUUGGAAAGUUUCGGCGGUUGGGGAUGGACUCGCGGCUUAUCAGCUUGUUGGUGGGGUAGUGGCUUACCAAGGCUUUGACGGGUAGCCGGCCUGAGAGGGUGACCGGCCAAAUUGGGACUGAGAUACGGCCCAGACUCCUACGGGAGGAAGAAGUGGGGAAUAUUGAACAAUGGGCGGAAGCCUGAUGCAGCAACGCGGCGUGCGGGAUGACGGCCUUCGGGUUGUAAACCGCUUUCGCCUGUGACGAAGCGUGAGUGACGGUAAUGGGUAAAGAAGCACCGGCUAACUACGUG
rnacentral:rRNA from 1 species